GCCUAACACAUGCAAGUCGAGCGGCAGCACAAGUAAGUUUACUUAUGAGUGUGGCGAGCGGCGGACGGGUGAGUAAUGCCUAGGGAUCUGCCCAGUCGAGGGGGAUAACAGUUGGAAACGACUGCUAAUACCUGCAUACGCCCUACGUGGGGAAAGAGGGGGACCUUCGGGGCCUCUCGCGAUUGGAUGAACCUAGGUGGGGAUUAGCUAGUU
rnacentral:rRNA from 1 species